AUUCUAGGACGGCAUUCAUUAAAGGGUGAUACAAGGGGAGAUCUAGUGACGGCAUCAUUAAAGGGAUACAAGGGGAGAUCUAGUGGCGGCAUCAUUAAAGGGGAGAUCUAGUGGCAGCAUCAUUAAAGGGGAGAUCUAGUGGCGGUAUAAUUAAAGGGAUACAAGGGGAGAUCUAGUGACGGCAUCAUUAAAGGGUGGUUCACCCUAAAAUGACAUUUGUCAGAUGUUUCCAUACCUCAAAAGUGGUCUUUAAAUUAAAUCAAGCUUAGUUCAUUUUUAAUGCUGUCUGUUACGUUGAUCCAGACUUAGGAAUUUAGCGUGAUCUACAGGCUUAACUCCAAAUGAUAG
rnacentral:lncRNA from 1 species